GUACAGGGAGGUCUGUGAGUUCCAGGAUAAGAGCUGCAUUACAAGGUGCCAUGGCCAGCUCACCUUCCUUAGGAAUUGGGACCAGCUCGGGCAGGGAGUGACUUGUCUAGGCACCUAGGUAGGAUCAAGUGUCAGAGCAAAAUGGAGCGCUUGUGUGCUCAGCUGUACAGCGCUGCUCCGCUCCUCCCUGGAGUGGUGGAGGGCCUUGGGAUUCAGCAGCCGAUGACAUCUUCCAGAUCCCUUCUUGCAGUGGGAAUUCAGAGCCUCAUGGAGUCUACCCACCUCCCCAAGAGAGCGGGACCUAGGCAAAGCUUCGAUAUCUGCUGAUGUCGGACUUUGGCAGUGUUCAAUUAGAAAUUAAAUUGAAGAUGGAAGAAUGACAUUCAUAAAAGCAACCAGAGCGGCAAGGUAUCCGAGUAUUUAAGACCUUGGGGAAUUCAAUGUAGCAUCAAAAAGUCCCCCCCCCCCCCAACAACCGAUCCUUACUCAAGAGGGACUAGCCAA